rnacentral:rRNA from 1 species
UACAGAGGUCUCAAGCGUUGUUCGGAUUCAUUGGGCGUAAAGGGUGCGUAGGCGGCGAAGCAAGUCAGAUGUGAAAUCCCGGGGCUCAACCCCGGAACUGCAUUUGAUACUGCUUUGCUCGAGGACUGGAGAGGAGAUCGGAAUUCACGGUGUAGCAGUGAAAUGCGUAGAUAUCGUGAGGAAGGCCAGUGGCGAAGGCGGAUCUCUGGACAGUUCCUGACGCUGAGGCACGAAGGCCAGGGGAGCAAACGGG